AUCUUGGUCAUAUAGUGUUGUAGAUUCAUGAUCUAACACUGUCUGGUAAAGAUGC
rnacentral:pre_miRNA from 1 species